UACGGGGGGGUCAAGCGUUGUUCGGAAUUACUGGGCGUAAAGGGCUCGUAGGCGGCCAACUAAGUCGGAUGUGAAAUCCCCAGGCUUAACCUGGGAACUGCAUCCGAUACUGGAUGGCUUGAAUCCGGGAGAGGGAUGCAGAAUUCCAGGUGUAGCGGUGAAAUGCGUAGAUAUCUGGAGGAACACCGGUGGCGAAGGCGGCAUCCUGGACCAACACUGACGCUGAGGAGCGAAAGCCAGGGGAGCAAACGGG
rnacentral:rRNA from 1 species